ensembl:lncRNA
CACCUCUCCAGCUGCCACAUCUAAGUUGGAGGGGGGCUAGUCCCCCCGGGGAGGGCCAACUCCACUGUGCCUGCUCCUCCUGGCCAGUGCUGGUCCCCUGUCAGCCCCACAGCACCCAGUCUGUUCGUCAUCAGGUGUUCCUGUUAAGACAUGGGACUCAGAAAGAAACAUUGUUAACUAGCGCCAAAUCAAGCAGGACCAUCACACCCUACAUUCUGGAGAUGAUACCUUUAUUAAUGUGACCCAAGAUUGCAGUAAAGAAGGUCCAUCCUCUUCCCCCUCCUGCUGCUCGCAGCUCUAGAGCAGUGGCUCUCAAGCCUGGCUGCCCAUGGGAAGCACCUGGGAAAUUUUUAAAAACCCCAGUGCCCGGGGCACACCCCAUGCCAGUUAAAUCAACAUCUCUGCAGACGGUCCUGGGUGAUUACUGUGGGUAGCCAGGCUGAGAGGUUGAGCUGCUGGUGUCCUGUGGCCUCCCAGACCUCUGAGCCCCAACCAUCGUCCCUGAGUCACUGAGUCACUGAGUCCCUUGUCUCCUGGCCUUUAAGGGUGACCAGAGUUAUUUAGGUAAACAUCUACCCAAGUGUUCCCAAAGUGUGUUCCCGGGAGCACCAGUUCUGCAAGAUGCCCCCCGAGGAACGGGGCUGUGGUCGUUGAGUUGGGGAAAUGCUGCUCCCCCUGCACUGGGGCAGCAGAUGAGUCAGGGUGGAAACAGGAAGGCAGAAACACCUGAAACCAGGCUUCCUGUAGAACUAACCAGAAGGGCUGUUCCCACUGAGACCAGCUGGAUCCUCCUGGUCGAGGGGUCUGUGGAUCCCCAGACGUCGCCAGCACACCCUGAGCCAGGCGCUGACGCCCCAGCGCCCCCCAGACCUGGUUGUUAAGCGUUUGCCAGCACCCCACUGCCUGCCCACUCUCUCCUCCUGCCCUCUGACCUCCUGCCACUGUCUCCCAUUGACCAGACCCAACAGGAAGCCAGCUGGCUGGGGCCCCAGACUCGCGUGGCUCAGGGCAGGACAGAAAAUGUAGAGAACAGAUCAGGAGGAGCCAAUGGGAAGUCAGCGGCAGGCCAGGCCCCCACUCUGGGGCAGGCAGGGACACCUUGGGGUCCACGCACCCUCCAUUGGGGCAGGGACACGCCCGUCUAAACGCUUACCAGCACUGAGCAGGGCGGCCGGCUGGGAACAGGCCGGUGUGCCUAGGAGGCUCCGGUUGGCACUGUGAUUACGCAGCAGACCACGUCAGCCCACACCCCAGCCCCUUGGCACGUUUGAUGAUGACAGCAUACUUCCAGUCAGAGAAAGUGAUGUUCCCAUUUCGAUCGGUUCAUCGCCGACACACUCACAUGCCAGGCGGUCCUCACCCCUGAGCUACCUCAGAACCACUGGAGGGUUUGUGGGAACACAGAUGGCCCAGCCCCACCCCCGAGCUUCUGACUCAGUGAGUUUGACAUUGUGAUAUAAUAAGAAAUACACAUUUUGGUGGGCAUCCCCGUCUCCUGACCAGAGCUCCUAAAACCUACGUAAUUUCCUAAACAGUAAAGGUGCUAGGAGCAUCUUUAAUUCAAACAGUUGAUCUUUGACCCCAGUUCCUGACACGGAGCUCCCAGUUCUCUUACAACAUCCUGGGUGAGAGGAGCAUCUUUUGCUCCAAUGAGGUGACUCUGGCUGGGCUCCCGGCCAGCUUCAGGAUGAUGGGGACUGGUCACCAGAUAGAGUGUGAUUAGAAGUGUGGAGUUUUCUUCCUCCGGGGAGGGGAGAGGGGUUGGAGACUGAGUUAAUAAUCGAUCAUGCCUACAUGAGGAAGCCUCCGUAAAAACCCCUCCAGGAUGGGGUCUGCAGAGCUGCCAGGCUGGGGAGCACAUCCACAUGCCAGCAGCGUGACGCACCCCAGCUCCCCGAGGACAGAAGCUCCUGUGCCCCGGACCCUUCCAGACCUCACCUGUGUGUCUCUUCAUCUGGCUGUUCACCUGUAUCCGUUAAAAUAGCCUUCGUCAUAAAUCAGCAAUAGUAAGAAACUGCUUUCCUGGGUCUGUGAGCUGCUCUACGAGUCAGCAAGCCUAAGGAGGGGGCCGUGGGGACCUCUGAUUUGUAGCCAAGUGGGACAGAAGUGCCGGUGGCCUGGGGCCCCACUACGUGCGACUGGCAUCUGAAAUGAGGGGGGAGCGGGAAGUCUUGUGGGACAGGGCUCUUAAUCGUAGGGUCUACACCAUCUCUGGAUGGUGUCAGAGUCAAAUCGAAGUGGAGGACCCUGGCUGGUGUGUAGAAUUGGUGGGUGUGGGAACACCACCCGCUCUGGGGUCAGAAGCACCGUGAAUGGGAGAGGAAAGGAAAGACGCAGCGCGUUGUUCCUGGGCGGUGGGAUGGGCGCCCGAGAGCCUGCUCUUCUAAGUUCCCAGGCGGUGCCGACGCUGCGGGUCUGGGGACCCCACUUUGAGAAUUCACAGCACGGACUGGGCUGACCUGUAAGACCCCCUGACAGAUAUAAAGUGUCUUGCUGUGUUAUCACCAACAAGCCCAGGGGGUGCCAGGUGGACCGAGGUGACACAUGUGGGCCAGACUUUGCAGUGACUCAAAGGCCAGGUGGUUUGCAAAGAAAGGAUGUGGCAAGACAGGGAGGGCUGGACAGAGCACUCGGGGACCCUCGGUGAGCGGGACGGGGCCGGGCAGUGGCACAGGGUCCCUGAAUUCAAGGAUGACUUGCUGAUAAUACAAGGAAGAGGCUGAGGAUGGAAACGAGAAGUGGGAAGAGAAAUCUUGGGAGAGAGAAGGAACUGAUGGCCUGGGGCUGCCCAAGGUGCCAGCCCUCCAGGCAGAGAGACUCAGGUGCAGGGGUCUGGACUGAGCAAGAGAAGGCAGACACGAGAGAGAACAUUCUGUGCGAUUCCUUUGUGUCCAUCCAAGAACAGGCAACACCAAUCUAUGGGAACAGAAAUCAGACGGAGAGCUGCGCAUGUCCACGUUUUGACCUGGGUGGUGUCCACACGGGCGUGUGCACCUACAAAAACUCAUCAAGCUGCACACUUAGGAUGUGUGUGCUGUACCCCAUGGAAGUUACACCUCCACGUGUGUCCACCCAGACUCGGCCUCGUCGGUUCCUCUGCUGCAUGUUGACCAAGGCUCCCUGCAUGUGAGACAUCCUGCCGGCUGCAAGGAUGCAGCUGGGAGAAAAAGCUCCUCUUCCUGCCCUGUCUGGACGGCAUCUCCACCACGAUGCAGACCUGGUGUGCCCCAAGAAGCCCCGGCAAAGGCGGCUCAGAGGCGGCGGGCAGAUGUGGGCCAGAGACGCUGGUCCAGGCCUGGGAGAGUCCUGCCUCUAGGUACUCACCCCAAAAAACGCAAACAAAGGCUCACACAGGAACAGUGGCAGCAAAAAGCUGGAAACAGACAAAUGUCCAGGAAACGGGUGAACCAGCUGUGGUGUAUGCAGACGGUGCGAGUCUGUGCAGCAAUAAAAAGGAGGGACCACAGACCAUCAACGUGGUGAAUCCCAGAGCCACAGCAUCGAGCCAGACACAAGAGAGAGCAUUCUGUGUGAUUCCGUAGAUGUCACAACCAACAGCGGGCAAAGCUAAGGAAUGGGGACAAAAGGCAGAAGAGGGGGCCUUCCCGGGGGCGGAGCAUGCUCCGCAUCUUGACCGGGGUGGUAGUCAAGCGGGCAUGCAGAUCUGCCCACUUCAGGAAUGUGCACUGUACUGUAUGUGGGUUAUACCUCCUUUUAUAAAAUGAUGAUGACAACGCAGGCGAGAGAUGAAGCGGGAUUGGGGUAGGGGACAGAGGAGGGAUGUGAAGGGUCAGAAAGUGAUAUGAUGUUGGGUCCCAUUGCUCUGGGGACCCCUCCCGGGGAACAGUGUGUUCAGCCACCGAGUCGCAGGCCCCCAGACUGUGCCAGAGGAGAAGCCCACCGAGAGCUCUGGGCUGGGCAGGUGCUGGAGGCCUGGUGAGGGGGCGUCAUGGAAACCUGGUGUGGGGCCUGGUCCAAGGCCACAUGGAGUCAGGACCAGCACAUCUCCAGUCUCGGGGACCCCGCGGAACUUGGUGCAGGUCAGGAGCUCAGAACCCGAUGAUGGAGGAGUGAUGAGGGAACGAGCGAAUGAACGAAUGAGAGGAAGAGGUCGGGGCCAGGCUCCGGGGAAAUUCUUUUGCUGUGAGGCGUUUCCUCCCCUGAAAAUGGCUGGGUGGCAGACCCCCACUCCCGAGGCUCUGAAUGGGCUCCAGGCUCUCAGAGGCCCCCGUGCUGCUGCCGUCUGGACACUUCACGAUUGUUGAACACAGGGCCCCACGUCUUUGUUCUGCGCUGGGCCUGCCUAUUCCGUAACCUGCCCUGGUUCUGGCCUGGGGACAGGGGUCUCUGAGCAGCUUGGGGAAGGGGAGAGGAUGCCAAGACUGAUGCAGAACAGCUGUCGGGGGGAUUUGGGGCUCCCAGACACACACACGCAGCCACACCGUUGCUGGGGACAGUGGGGGUUUCAGGGUGUAGUUAUGGUGACGUCAGGGGAGGAGACCCCCAAGGACCAGAUCCUGUUGAGACCCAGGCUUCUCUCCACCCCUCGAGGUCCCCAGAGGUGGCGCCAGCACAGGGGGUGAGGGACGUCUGUAUCAGCGGGCGCCGUGGCCCGAGGCUCCCUACGGUCGUGGGUGGGGCUGGCCUUUCUGUCCCCGGGCAGGAGGCCACACACAGCAGCUCCAGAGGAAGGAAGAGGAGCUCGUGGCGUGGCUGAUCCCGCCCAGGACAGGUCAGAUCACACACACCCAGGAGAGGGAGCCCACCGGCCAGCUCUGGACCCCGGGGAGGAGAGACCAAGCCCACAGCCCCGUGACCUCUGUCCCCUCAGCAAGCUCCACCCACUGAACUGUGACCUCUCCUGUCUGCCCCUCACUCCUCCCAACACACACACACACACACUCACUCAAAGAUACGCACACAUCUACACACAUAUACACACAGCGUCCCGGAAUCUGGCC